rnacentral:rRNA from 1 species
UACGAAGGGGGCUAGCGUUGUUCGGAAUUACUGGGCGUAAAGCGCGUGUAGGCGGGUCUUUAAGUCAGGGGUGAAAUGCCAAGGCUCAACCUUGGAACUGCCUUUGAUACUGGAGACCUUGAGUCCGGGAGAGGUGAGUGGAAUUGCGAGUGUAGAGGUGAAAUUCGUAGAUAUUCGCAAGAACACCAGUGGCGAAGGCGGCUCACUGGCCCGGUACUGACGCUGAGGUGCGAAAGCGUGGGGAGCAAACAGGG